UUUGCUUUGUAAAAUACCAGAUUGGGGAAUUUUUUUAUUAAAAAAACAACAACAACAAACAGAUUGGGUAAGAUCAGGGCCUCCCCUGGCUCUUUCACACUUUUAGCCGUGACUUUAGCCAAUUGCAAGAUCUUGGAAUCAUUUCAUAGCCCAAGUGCAUUGGGAAGUAACAGUAAAGCAGAGUACCUACAGUCCAUGAAGUUGAGAAAUGAAGAAAUGCAGCUCUGAAUUGUUUAAUACGGUGUGUGGGGAAAACAUUGUGGAUAUGAAGCAUAGAAAUCAUGUGUCAAUGUGAAGUAACAGUAACACAGAAUGGCUGGAGACCAGUAACUUAAGAACUGAAGAGAUGCAGGUCAUUGUUCUAUAUGGUGAUUGAUGGAACUAUGGUGCAGUUUUGAAUUGAUAAGGUGUGCAGUUACAGAAAAGCAGAAUAGCUACACACCAUGAAAUUUAGAAAAUGAAGAGAUGCAUGUGUCUGUUCAGCAUGGUGUAUAUGGGAAACAUUGUGGGUCGCAGACAUCUGUUCAGCAUGGUGUAUAUGGGAAACAUUGUGGGUUGCAGACAUCUGUUCAGCAUGGUGUAUAUGGGAAACAUUGUGGGUCGCAGACAUGAAAUGAUUUGUGUGAAGUAACAGUAAAGCAGAAUGGCUACAGACAAUUAGUUCAGAAUUGAAGAAGAGAUGCAGGUCUUUGUUCUAUAUGGUGUAUGAGGGAACCAUGGUGGAAAUUUGGAUUUCAUGGCAGUCAUAGAAAUAUCUAAUAAGUCUGUUCUACAGUGAUGUGUGUACCAGUCUGUCAGACUUUUACCUGUCUGUCCAGUCGACAAAUUCGCAAUAGAUGCGUAGAUUCUCAAACAAUUUGGCAGAGUUUUCACAGUUACUAUGACAGAUUGCAAAAAAUGU